rnacentral:tRNA from 1 species
GCUGGAAUAGCUCAGUUGGCUAGAGCGUGUGGCUGUUAACCUCAAGGGCGGAGGUUCAAGCCCUCCUUCUAGCG